UCUCAUUCUCUCCCUCACAAAAAGAAUGUCGCCUCUAUCUAUUCCUCUCCUCUUCGGCCAGCGUAGCCGGUGAAGCAGUCGCCUGGUGCCAGCGGCGGGCUUCGUUCCUCCUCCCUUACCCUUCGCCUUCUCUCUCUCCUCUCUUUUCAAACGAGAAAUAAUAGCUAGCAGCUCUAGUGAGCCGGCUCCAACCAACAGCUAGGCAAGCUAGCGCAGGCAGCAACUCCGACAGGUGACCUCCGAUCAGCGAGCAUCGACUGGCGAAGAGAGCAGCAACGACCAGUGAGGCCCCAACAACGAGGAGUAGCAGCAGCAGACGACAACUCCAGCAUCAACGGCAGCAGCUCUAGCAAAUGCAGCAGUCGCGUGAGGCUUGUACACUGGUGAAAACAACAACAAAUCAGACUAAGCGAAGCUUCGGUCAACGAACUCCGGCGAAGUAAAGGUUGGAUCAACUCGAGAUUUAAAGGGUUGAUAUGUUCAAAGAUGGAUCUUUUCAGAUCCGUCCGGACAAGUUGUGGAAGGGGGAAAUCAAGACUAGUGGCUAGUGAAGUUCUUUUGCAAUGGUAUUUUGAGAAGCAACCUCUAUUUUACUGCCUCGGUUUUGUUAAUAUUUAGUAUAUCUUAGUUAGACUUU